rnacentral:rRNA from 1 species
UACGAAGGGUGCAAGCGUUACUCGGAAUUACUGGGCGUAAAGCGUGCGUAGGUGGUUUGUUAAGUCUGAUGUGAAAGCCCUGGGCUCAACCUGGGAACUGCAUUGGAAACUGGCUUACUAGAGUGCGGUAGAGGGGUGUGGAAUUCCCGGUGUAGUGGUGGAAUGCGUAGAUAUCGGGAGGAACACCAGUGGCGAAGGCGGUUACCUGGAGCUUUGCUGACGCUGAUGCGCGAAAGCGUGGGGAGCGAUCCGG